UGUGCCGCAGCUAACGCAUUAAGUGCCCCGCCUGGGGAGUACGGCCGCAAGGCUAAAACUCAAAGGAAUUGACGGGGGCCCGCACAAGCGGCGGAGCAUGCGGAUUAAUUCGAUGCAACGCGAAGAACCUUACCAAGGCUUGACAUGUACGAGAAAGCCCCAGAGAUGGGGUUCUCUUUGGACACUCGUACACAGGUGGUGCAUGGUUGUCGUCAGCUCGUGUCGUGAGAUGUUGGGUUAAGUCCCGCAACGAGCGCAACCCUUAUCCUAUGUUGCCAGCGGGUUAUGCCGGGGACUCAUGGGAGACUGCCGGGGUCAACUCGGAGGAAGGUGGGGAUGACGUCAAAUCAUCAUGCCCCUUAUGUCUUGGGCUUCACGCAUGCUACAAUGGCCGGUACAGAGGGCUGCGAUACCGUGAGGUGGAGCGAAUCCCAAAAAGCCGGUCUCAGUUCGGAUCGGGGUCUGCAACUCGACCCCGUGAAGUCGGAGUCGCUAGUAAUCGCAGAUCAGCAACGCUGCGGUGAAUACGUUCCCGGGCCUUGUACACACCGCCCGUCAAGUCACGAAAGUUGGUAACACCCGAAGCUCACGGCCCAACCCCUUGUGGGAGGGAGUGGUCGAAG
rnacentral:rRNA from 1 species